rnacentral:lncRNA from 1 species
AUGAUUUCGAGUGUUCCCUUGACGAUUAUAAGUUGUAAACCCAAGUCUAAGCCUCAUAUGUGUAUGAUUGUAAGUUUGUAUGUGUGCAAGUAUGUGCGAAUGCAUGAUUUGGAUGCAUUUGAGAAUUAGCGUUACUAAUAAUGCCCUUGGGUUUGGAAUAUAAGUUAAUUGGAUGCAUUUAAAUGGUUGACGUCCUUUUUAUGAAGAUGUAGUAAAUGAAUAUGUUGAGAUUACGGGUUUGGCUAACCAAGUUAUUAUUGAGUAUGUUUGAAAGUGCAGGUUAUGAAUGUCGGACUUUCGAAGUGUUGAUAUAAUAAUGAAACGGUUGAAUGUUGAAAGGAUAAUCGGAUUGAAGUAACUUAUGCGGUUAGAAUAUGCUAUGGACGUUUUAGUUUAUACAACAUUUUAUGUUUGGUCGUCAUCAUCUACCAACGGGUAAAUCCUCAAUUCAGGCGACUUGGAGAAUCGGAGCGAGCGCGUG